UAGGUGCGGCCCCGCGGGGGGACCAUGGCGGGUUCUGGGGAGCAUGUAGAUAGCGGAUGAGACAAGAGCACCUUGUGUUAGUCUUUCCCCAGAGUUUCCUCGGAAAACGAGAAUUUUCCAAGCCCCCGGCGAUUAGAUGCAGGCAGGCACCGAUAGGCCGCUUCCUCCUCUUCGGCGAGAGCACUGAACGCCCUCACUUUGGAGGAUCCAGGUGAGUUUACCGGAAGGUCUGUGCAGGAUGCACGUGUGCUGGGUUCUUUCUGCCUCGUUCCGUGUGCCUGAAAUGCAAUUGUUGGGGCCUAGAACUUCCUGGUUUCUUGGGUUUCGCUUACUCAACCACGUAACCUUUGCACGCUGACCCUGUUUGUGCUUAAGACCCCGUUUUGUUUGCACCUGAAUAAAAGGGGUCAGUCCCCAAGAAGUGUUUCA